GCAGCGUCAAGUCCCCACUGCUGCAUGCAGUCGGCAUCUCUUCGUCUGGAGGAGGAAUGACUUCCACAUUGUAGCUCACCUUCUUGGACUGGAGGAUGCUGUAGCUGUUGUCAAAACACAGCACAUCUGCAAGAGAUAAGUGGAGCGCAGGGGGAGCUGGUGCCUAUCUCCAGGUGUCUAUGGGCAGGAGGUGGGAUACACCUUGGACAGGUCACCAGUCCAUCAUAGGGCAACAUAGACACACAGGACAAAAACUAUGGGUAUUAGAGGCUUUUCCGCAUAUGUCAGCCUUUGUUUCACGCAGUACCCACCCGGAAUGUUUGUUUCAAUCUAAUAGCCCUGUCACACUAAUGCCUAUCUGCCUUUUAUUUCCAUGGUGUAAAUGGAUACUGUAUAAUGCUAUAGGAAAAUAUAAUAUUACUAUGCAUUUGUCACUGUAGCAUGCACAAUUUGAUCAUCCGCAAAACCAGGUUGCCAUGGAUGUUUUGGACGUGUGAAAACCUCUGCCAUAUUAGAGCCACAGCUCUCAAAUACCAUGGUUAAAGCACAUGUGGACCACACCUAUAGAAUGGACACAACUGUGAAUUAGAUAUUGCAGUAAUGACUCAAUAAUAAGAUUACUUAAUCUCACACUAGACUAUUUAGACGCUUCACUAACUUCGAGAUGCUGGAUGCCUGCAACUAGUGAAACUGACAUGAUUACUUUCAUCUGAAUAAUUCAGCUAUUAAUUGUCUGACCACUUGGUGGCACUCAGAGCACUGAACUUUCAUCCCCAGAUGGUCAGUUGAUCUUUUAAUAUGUCUUGGAAAAAGUAACAUACCCAGUCAUAAUACAGCAGAACACUAUAAGGUCCACACCAUUGGUGUCUGUAUACAUUCACUAUUCAAAACAGGAACACCGCAAAACAGAAUGAAAGAUGUGCGGGGACUUGGUUUUCAAAACGUCAGCAUACAUGGGAAGAUAGGAACCAGUGUGACAGGACCCUUAGUCUUAUCUUAAAAAAAACAAAGAGACAGUUUCAGAGGAGUUUAUCAAACUCUACAUGUUUAGGUUUGUUAUGGUAGAAUAAAGAAGGCUUAUCCUUGGCAUGAUGCUGAAAGAGCUGGCACAUACAUAGCAUCUACUGAUUUUUAUAGUGAGUAGCGACACCCCUUUGCUGUUGCUUUCAAACAGUAUGUUGUGUGUGGUGAAAAGUGGAAAAAAGAAAUGUGCCACAAUGUCUCUGAUUUUAAAGUGAUUGUUAAAGGUACCAAUAAUUGUACCACCGGUGAAUUUAUUCAAAACAAUUGUUCAUUAGCAUUGGAUUUCCACUGUAAAUAAAUGGGCUUAAAUGGUAUUUCCAAAA